CCAAGAAGCUGGGGCCAUCUGAAUU
rnacentral:piRNA from 1 species